rnacentral:rRNA from 1 species
GAUGAACGCUGGCGGCGUGCCUAAUACAUGCAAGUCGAGCGAACGGACGAGAAGCUUGCUUCUCUGAUGUUAGCGGCGGACGGGUGAGUAACACGUGGAUAACCUACCUAUAAGACUGGGAUAACUUCGGGAAACCGGAGCUAAUACCGGAUAAUCUUUUGAACCGCAUGGUUCAAAAGUGAAAGACGGUCUUGCUGUCACUUAUCGAUGGAUCCGCGCUGCAUUAGCUAGUUGGUAAGGUAACGGCUUACCAAGGCAACGAUGCAUAGCCGACCUGAGAGGGUGAUCGGCCACACUGGAACUUAGACACGGUCCAGACUCCUACGGGAGGCAGCAGUAGGGAAUCUUCCGCAGUGGGCGAAAGCCUGACGGAGCAACGCCGCGUGAGUGAUGAAGGUCUUCGGAUCGUAAAGCUCUGUUAUGAGGGAAGAACAUAUGUGUAAGUAACUGUGCACAUCUUGACGGUACCUAAUCAGAAAGCCACGGCUAACUACGUG